UCACAGGGAGGUAGUGACAAGAAAUAACAAUACGGGGCAUUAAUGUCUUGUAAUUGGAAUGAUGGGAAUUUAAACCUCUUCCAGAGUAUCAAUUGGAGGGCAAGUCUGGUGCCAGCAGCCGCGGUAAUUCCAGCUCCAAUAGCGUAUAUUAAAAUUGUUGCAGUUAAAAAGCUCGUAGUUGAAUUUCUGCUGCAUUGCUUUUGCUCCUUUACGAGUCUUUGCAUUGUGGCUUAUUUCGGACUUUGUUUUACAAUGUCCGGAUGUUUACUUUGAGAAAAUUAGAGUGCUCAAAGCAGGCUUUCGCCUUGAAUAGUUUAGCAUGGAAUAAUAAAGUAGGACUUUGGUUCUAUUUUGUUGGUUUUAGGUACCAAAGUAAUGGUUAAUAGUUUCAGGGGGGGGCAUUCGUAUUUAACUGUCAUAGGUGAAAUUCUUAAUA
rnacentral:rRNA from 1 species